GAGGAGGGGAGGAACCUGAUCCUCGGUAGCGAAGGGCUGGAGGCAAACACCGAGCUCCCCCUGAGCCGCCUGGGAGCAGGGAGGGUUCUGCUACCCUGAGGGGCCCUCCCCGCGGGGCAGAGGGGACCAGCCCAACAUGGCUUCCAACACAGAGACCAGAAGGACCCAAUAAGAGACCGAAGACACGACUGAUAAUACAGAAAGGAGGGUGAUGCUGUGUGCAAGGCAGAUACAAGAUGGUUUUUCCAUAAGAGGAAGUGAUCAUGGCAACCAUGACCUUCUCUGACCUUCUCUCUUCCAAGAGGCUGUUGGGAAGGUGGGAUGACCUAGGAUUGACCUUGGACUUGACAUCACAGAAGCCAUUUCAACCUUCACAGGGUUUCCUCAGCAGUGCCCCGGAGCAGGGACCGCGCCAGCCAGCAGAAACAGCUAGUUGUUGUCUGCAGUGAAGAAUAAUUGGAAGCAUGGUGCCUGUUUCUUUUCCUCUCAUCCUCGUCUACGGCCAAACGUUGGUUUCUCAUUUCUAGAAGAUGAAAGAUGUGAUGACUCAGGAAAAACUUGCUGCUCGAGAUGUGAGUCUUCAGAUGUUCCUGCCGCCAUAUCUGACAGCUGCUGCCAAGAUUCCCUGGUGGGAUGGACUCUUAUACCUCAACAACCAGAAGCCCAAGUAAACUCUUCUAUAAAUUGAAUGACUCAUGCUUAAAAAAAAAAACAAAAAACAAACUAUCUUUAUUUUGUGUGCAUUGGUGUUUUGCCUACAUAUAUGUCUGUGUGAGAGUGUCAGAUUCCUUGGAACUGUAGCUACAGAUAGUUGUGAGCCACCAUGUGGGUGCUGGGACUUGAACCCCAGUCCUCUAGAAGAGCAGCUGGUAGGUACUCUUAACCACUGGACCAUCCCUCUAGACCCUGAUCAUGGUGUUUUAACUACAGCAAAAGAAAAGUAAUUAGCACAAUCAGGUUAGCCAGAGGGCACACCUGUGACAGAUUUUUCCUAAGUGCAUUCAUCAGGGGGAGGCCCACCCUGGAUGGGGGCAGCACCCUUCCUUGGGUUUGGGUCUUAGAAAGAAUAAACACAGAGAGGGAGCUGAGCACAAGCCAGCAAGCACAAGCUAAGCAAGCACUGUCCAGUCUUCCUCUGCUUUGACUGAGGAUGUGACGUGUCUAGCUGCUUCAGGUUUCUGCCUCGAAUCCCCUGCAGUCAUAGACUAUAACCUGGAAUUGUGAGCCAAAAGAAAAACAAAAGAAAACAAAAUCCAUUUUCUCCCCAUAUGUUGCUUUUUGGUCAAAGCAUUUGAUCCCAGUAACAGAAAAGAAAUGAGGACAGGCAAGAAGAGGCCAUACCACAGAGCCAGGAGCAGGUUGUAGUGCCAAGUUGCAGAGGCCGGGGAGGAGCAUAGGUGCAGAGCAGCCGCUGUCAGAAUGUUCAGGGAAAAGGAGAAGAGAGGAUGUGUCAGGGAAGUGAGCUGGCUCAGUCCAUAACAGCAUGGUCUUGCUGUCUUUUACAGGGUCUGAAGUCUACCUUAGUGCAGUGGGAGCCACUAACUGUCCUAGUAUGAAGGAAGGAUAUUGAUGUUUUUUGGGCAUGUAAGUGUGUGUGUGUGUGUGUGUGUGUGUGUGUCCCCAUACUCUAGGGACUGAGCCUCCUCACCCAUGUACCACACAGCUUCAGUCCCAGUCCCAUAUUUUGUUUUCAAUCAAACUUUAUACAAAUGUUUCUCAAGAAAAUUAUAAGUUACUUCUUUUAUUUCUCAUUAAUAAUAUUUUGGGGUUUUUAUUUAAUAAAUUUUAAAGCAAGAUGAGCAUU
rnacentral:lncRNA from 1 species